AGCGUACACGGUGGAUGCCCUGGCAGUCAGAGGCGAUGAAGGACGUGCUAAUCUGCGAUAAGCGUCGGUAAGGUGAUAUGAACCGUUAUAACCGGCGAUUUCCGAAUGGGGAAACCCAGUGUGAUUCGUCACACUAUCAUUAACUGAAUCCAUAGGUUAAUGAGGCGAACCGGGGGAACUGAAACAUCUAAGUACCCCGAGGAAAAGAAAUCAACCGAGAUUCCCCCAGUAGCGGCGAGCGAACGGGGAGCAGCCCAGAGCCUGAAUCAGUGUGUGUGUUAGUGGAAGCGUCUGGAAAGGCGCGCGAUACAGGGUGACAGCCCCGUACACAAAAAUGCACAUACUGUGAGCUCGAUGAGUAGGGCGGGACACGUGGUAUCCUGUCUGAAUAUGGGGGGACCAUCCUCCAAGGCUAAAUACUCCUGACUGACCGAUAGUGAACCAGUACCGUGAGGGAAAGGCGAAAAGAACCCCGGCGAGGGGAGUGAAAAAGAACCUGAAACCGUGUACGUACAAGCAGUGGGAGCCUCUUUAUGGGGUGACUGCGUACCUUUUGUAUAAUGGGUCAGCGACUUAUAUUCUGUAGCAAGGUUAACCGAAUAGGGGAGCCGAAGGGAAACCGAGUCUUAACUGGGCGUUAAGUUGCAGGGUAUAGACCCGAAACCCGGUGAUCUAGCCAUGGGCAGGUUGAAGGUUGGGUAACACUAACUGGAGGACCGAACCGACUAAUGUUGAAAAAUUAGCGGAUGACUUGUGGCUGGGGGUGAAAGGCCAAUCAAACCGGGAGAUAGCUGGUUCUCCCCGAAAGCUAUUUAGGUAGCGCCUCGUGAAUUCAUCUCCGGGGGUAGAGCACUGUUUCGGCAAGGGGGUCAUCCCGACUUACCAACCCGAUGCAAACUGCGAAUACCGGAGAAUGUUAUCACGGGAGACACACGGCGGGUGCUAACGUCCGUCGUGAAGAGGGAAACAACCCAGACCGCCAGCUAAGGUCCCAAAGUCAUGGUUAAGUGGGAAACGAUGUGGGAAGGCCCAGACAGCCAGGAUGUUGGCUUAGAAGCAGCCAUCAUUUAAAGAAAGCGUAAUAGCUCACUGGUCGAGUCGGCCUGCGCGGAAGAUGUAACGGGGCUAAACCAUGCACCGAAGCUGCGGCAGCGACACUAUGUGUUGUUGGGUAGGGGAGCGUUCUGUAAGCCUGCGAAGGUGUACUGUGAGGUAUGCUGGAGGUAUCAGAAGUGCGAAUGCUGACAUAAGUAACGAUAAAGCGGGUGAAAAGCCCGCUCGCCGGAAGACCAAGGGUUCCUGUCCAACGUUAAUCGGGGCAGGGUGAGUCGACCCCUAAGGCGAGGCCGAAAGGCGUAGUCGAUGGGAAACAGGUUAAUAUUCCUGUACUUGGUGUUACUGCGAAGGGGGGACGGAGAAGGCUAUGUUGGCCGGGCGACGGUUGUCCCGGUUUAAGCGUGUAGGCUGGUUUUCCAGGCAAAUCCGGAAAAUCAAGGCUGAGGCGUGAUGACGAGGCACUACGGUGCUGAAGCAACAAAUGCCCUGCUUCCAGGAAAAGCCUCUAAGCAUCAGGUAACAUCAAAUCGUACCCCAAACCGACACAGGUGGUCAGGUAGAGAAUACCAAGGCGCUUGAGAGAACUCGGGUGAAGGAACUAGGCAAAAUGGUGCCGUAACUUCGGGAGAAGGCACGCUGAUAGGUAGGUGAAGCGACUUGCUCGUGGAGCUGAAAUCAGUCGAAGAUACCAGCUGGCUGCAACUGUUUAUUAAAAACACAGCACUGUGCAAACACGAAAGUGGACGUAUACGGUGUGACGCCUGCCCGGUGCCGGAAGGUUAAUUGAUGGGGUCAGCCGCAAGGCGAAGCUCUUGAUCGAAGCCCCGGUAAACGGCGGCCGUAACUAUAACGGUCCUAAGGUAGCGAAAUUCCUUGUCGGGUAAGUUCCGACCUGCACGAAUGGCGUAAUGAUGGCCAGGCUGUCUCCACCCGAGACUCAGUGAAAUUGAACUCGCUGUGAAGAUGCAGUGUACCCGCGGCAAGACGGAAAGACCCCGUGAACCUUUACUAUAGCUUGACACUGAACAUUGAGCCUUGAUGUGUAGGAUAGGUGGGAGGCUUUGAAGCGUGGACGCCAGUCUGCGUGGAGCCGACCUUGAAAUACCACCCUUUAAUGUUUGAUGUUCUAACGUGGACCCGUAAUCCGGGUUGCGGACAGUGUCUGGUGGGUAGUUUGACUGGGGCGGUCUCCUCCUAAAGAGUAACGGAGGAGCACGAAGGUUGGCUAAUCCUGGUCGGACAUCAGGAGGUUAGUGCAAUGGCAUAAGCCAGCUUGACUGCGAGCGUGACGGCGCGAGCAGGUGCGAAAGCAGGUCAUAGUGAUCCGGUGGUUCUGAAUGGAAGGGCCAUCGCUCAACGGAUAAAAGGUACUCCGGGGAUAACAGGCUGAUACCGCCCAAGAGUUCAUAUCGACGGCGGUGUUUGGCACCUCGAUGUCGGCUCAUCACAUCCUGGGGCUGAAGUAGGUCCCAAGGGUAUGGCUGUUCGCCAUUUAAAGUGGUACGCGAGCUGGGUUUAGAACGUCGUGAGACAGUUCGGUCCCUAUCUGCCGUGGGCGCUGGAGAACUGAGGGGGGCUGCUCCUAGUACGAGAGGACCGGAGUGGACGCAUCACUGGUGUUCGGGUUGUCAUGCCAAUGGCACUGCCCGGUAGCUAAAUGCGGAAGAGAUAAGUGCUGAAAGCAUCUAAGCACGAAACUUGCCCCGAGAUGAGUUCUCCCUGACUCCUUGA
rnacentral:rRNA from 1 species